AAUGUGCUUCUGAACAUAUUUACCGUGUAACUCUAGCAUUCGUAGCAUACGGUUCCAAUGAUUCAUUGAGAACUAACUCAACAAUAGGAGAAAACAGAUUGCCUGAAUGGCAUUGUGCGUCAAAUCCCUGAUGCCUCCCAUUCCUGGUUUGUGGACACGCAACACAUGAUGCUCAACCAAUUUCUCUCCAUCACGGUGGCCUCUCUCGAUCUUGUUAAGCUUGUUUAUAUAAGGGGUGCUGGGUGUAGCUUGUGCUCAAUAUCUGACACACCAAACAUGCAUGCCAUAUGACUUAUAUAUAUAGGUGCCUGAUACAUAUUCACCGGUGGUUUUUCUCCGUCAUAUCCAGUUCACCUACGAAUUCAAGCAAUGAUUCUCCAAUAAAAAAUAAACAAAUGUACAUGGAUAAUUUGGCAAUAGUUUUUAAUGCGGAGUCUUGGCACAUCACUUCUGUUCAUGCACAUUCAUGUUGUAGUCACUUCUACCUAGCUAUCUUAACUCCAUCUAGUUGGUGUUAGCUCCAUCAGAUUGGUCCUAAUUAAUGAAUUCUAAUGAUUCAGGGGCAUUUUCAUCUGAAGAAGAAAAACACAUUUGAUCCAUAAAGGGUAGCUCUUCACCAAUUGUGAAGCACAUUACGAAAUUACAGAACUGAAAUUCCUAGAGCCUGCACGCCUUCAACAAGACACAUAUUUAUGUCUAGCUCUCCCUUGUUUGUUGUCUUAAUUAUAAACUUUGUAAUAACAGAACAUACUGGUUAAUGAUGCUAGUGCGCCCUUAUUACAGAGCAACUAUGGAUGUUUUUCUUUUCAGUUACAAAAUACUCCCUUCGUUUCAAAUUUUAAAUCGCUUUAAAUUUUUCCUGGUCAAACAUUAUAAAGUUUGACCAAAUUUAUAGAAAAACAUAGCGGUGGCUUUAACAUAAAACAAACAUAUUAUCAAAAUAUACUCAAUGUUAUAUUUAAUGAAACUAUUCUAGUAUUACAAUUGUUAUUAAAUUUUUCUACAAACUUGGUCAAAUCUAAAGUUGUUUGAUUAGAAAAAAAAAAGUCAAAACAACUUAUAAUAUGAAACAGAGCGAAAUAAAUAUAUACCUAGAAACAUCCCUGAUGUCCGACACUAAAUUGUCUACAGUUAGCCUUGUAAAUGUUCCUAUCAUAAAAGCAUCCAUGUAAAUUCCCCUUACUUAUAUGCCCUAGGGUGCAAGAGUUUUAACUGACACUAUAAAUAGACCCCAAGGGGCAUGUAAUGGGGGAUCGCAAAAAUAUCAAUAUUAAUACUUACUGUUUUACUUUUCCACCAAGACUAAACCACGUUCUUCGACAAACGCAUUUGUCAUUCGACAACAGCUGGCGCCGACCAUGGCCCUAAUCAUUCGUUGGGGGGAUCUCCAUCAAAUGUAGAAGGCAUAGCCAAGAAAAGCUUCGGUGCUAGUCUAUUCCAAGAUGCUUUUCAUUCCGAGUUCAUCAGAGACAAAGGUGCAAUUAAAAGCAUGGUGAGCAUGACGAGUGGUGUGGUCAGAGGCAUCGAUGGCAAAGACAUGAAGGCGCAGCUCCGUGUAAGGGAUUUUGUGAGCCUCUGUAUCAUCUGACGACUGAAAUAUGAGGGAUAUUUUUUUCUUUUGAUUGUCAGUUGUAGCUCUGUUCUAUAUACAUGUGUAAAUGCUAUGAACAGGGGUAGAAACUAAGCUGAUACUCCCUCUGUCUACAAAUGUAAUUAAGCAUUCUUAGAGUUACUCCCUCUGUCUACAAAUGUAAUUAAGCAUUCUUAGAGUGCUACGUGUUCGAGCAAGCACCUCUUGUUCAA